UUACGGCUAUUUCAGGUUGAAACACCUCUUCUCUUAUGAUCACCGAAGUUAAGCAACAGCGUUCCUCGUCAGUACCUAGAUUGGUGAUCGCUUGAGAAUACCAGAUGCUGUAA